rnacentral:rRNA from 1 species
GACGAACGCUGGCGGCGUGCCUUAGGCAUGCAAGUAGAACGAUCUAAAUUCGUUUGGAAAGUUGCGAACGGCUGAGUAACACGUAAGAAUCUACCCCUUGGUGCGGAAUAGCCCAUCGAAAGAUGGAGUAAUACCACAUAAGAUCCACGGAUGAAAGGAUGUAACUAUCCGCCGAGGGAGGAGCUUGCGGCCCAUCAGCUUGUUGGUAGGGUAAAGGCCUACCAAGGCUUUGACGGGUAGGGGGCGUGAGAGCGUGUUCCCCCAGAAUGGCACUGAGACACGGGCCAUACACCUACGGGUGGCAGCAACCGGGAAUUGUACACAAUGGACGAAAGUCUGAUGUCGCGACGCCGCGUGAAGGAUGAAGGCCCUUGGGUCGUAAACUUCUUUUGGCUAAAUGGAGACAUUUGGCAGAAUAAGCACCCGCUAACUACGUGCCAGCAGCUGCGGUGAUACGUAGGGUGCAAGCGUUGUCCGGAGUUAUUGGGCGUAAGAGUUCGUAGGCGUUUUUCUAAGUUGUUUUUCAAAUACCAGGGCUUAACUUUGGGAAGGGGAACAAUACUGGGAAAAUUGAAGAGUGUAGGGGCUGUCGGAACUUACUAUGUAGGAGUGAAAUCCGUUGAUAUAAUAAGGAACGCCGAGGGCGAAGGCAGACAGCUGGGCACUAUUUGACGCUGAGGAACGAAAGCUAGGGUAGCGAAAGGGAUUAGAGACCCCUGUAGUCCUAGCCGUAAACGAUGCUCGCUAGCCGUGUGGAUUUAUCUGCGCGGCGCAAGCUAACGCGUUAAGCGAGCCGCCUGGGGAGUACGAGCGCAAGCUUAAAACUCAAAGGAAUUGACGGGGACCCGCACAACCAGUGGAGCAUGUGGUUUAAUUCGAGACGAACCGAAGAACCUUACCUGGGUUUGACAUGCUACUUUUAAUGCCUUUUCAGAAAUGAAAAGGAACUCUGAUUAAUUUCAGAGAAGGUAGCACAGGUGCUGCAUGGCUAUCGUCAGCUCGUGUCGUGAGGUGUUCCCUUCAGUGGGGUAACGAGCGCAACCCCUGCUAUAUGUUGAAUUAUUCAUAUAGGACUACUCGCCUUUGGCGAGAGGAAGUGGGGACGACGUUAAGUCAGCAUGGCCCUUAUAUCCAGGGCGACACACAUGCUACAAUGGAGCCGACAAAGGGUUGCCAAGUGGUAACACGGAGCUAAUCCCAUCAAACGGCUUCUCAGUGGGGAUUGAGGGCUGCAAUUCGCCCUCAUGAACGUGGAAUUGGUAGUAAUCGCGGAUCAGCCAAGCCGCGGUGAAUACGUUCUCGGGUCUUGUACACACCGCCCGUCAAGUCAAUGAAGUUGGGGGCACCCGAAUCCCGCAGUAGCGGGAGAAGGUGAAUCUAGCGACAGGGACU